GAGGGUAGAGCUCAGUGGUAGAGCGUGUGCUUAGCAUGCACAAGGUCCUGGGUUCAAUCCCCAGCUCCUCCA
rnacentral:tRNA from 1 species